ACGGCCAUAUCACGUCGAAACCCCCGUUUCCCGUACGAUCACCGAAGUUAAGCAACGUCGGGUCUGGUCAGUACCUAAAUGAGUGACCGCUUUGAAAUGCCAGAUGCUGUCA